AUUCAGAUAAUGAGUCCCAUACAGGACGAAAUGCGCAUCCUGACUGGAU
rnacentral:hammerhead_ribozyme from 1 species